rnacentral:rRNA from 1 species
AUUGAACGCUGGCGGCAUGCCUUACACAUGCAAGUCGAACGGCAGCACGGGAGCAAUCCUGGUGGCGAGUGGCGAACGGGUGAGUAAAGCAUCGGAACGUGCCCAGUCGUGGGGGAUAACGUAGCGAAAGCUACGCUAAUACCGCAUACGAUCUGUGGAUGAAAGCGGGGGAGCGUAAGGCCUCGCGCGAUUGGAGCGGCCGAUGUCAGAUUAGGUAGUUGGUGAGGUAAAGGCUCACCAAGCCGACGAUCUGUAGCUGGUCUGAGAGGACGACCAGACACACUGGGACUGAGACACGGCCCAGACUCCUACGGGAGGCAGCAGUGGGGAAUUUUGGACAAGGGGCGCAAGCCUGAUCCAGCAAUGCCGCGUGCAGGAUGAAGGCCUUCGGGUUGUAAACUGCUUUUGUACGGAGCGAAACGGCUUCCACUAAUACUGGGGGCUAAUGACGGUACCGUAAGAAUAAGCACCGGCUAACUACGUGCCAGCAGCAGCCGCCGUAA